GGGGUAGUAACUCAGUGGUAGAGUGCUCGCUUCGCAUCGUAUGUUGGGUAUGCGAGAAGCCCAGGGUUCAAUCCCCUGCUGCUACA